GGUUUGUGGCUCAGUGGUAGAGUGCUUGCCUAGAAUGUGUGAGGCACUGUGUUCGACUCUCAGCACCA
rnacentral:tRNA from 1 species